AAAAACGCAAAAGAAAGGAAAAUCGGGAAAGGAGGGAAGAAAGGAGAAGAAGGGAAGGAGGGGAGGAAGGAUGGUCAGACUUUUGGAGUUUUCCGGUGAGAGUGCAUGUUGGCAAGGGGAAAAGAGGGAGUGGGACCUGAAAAGCUAGAAAUUGGAGAGAGAAAGAAGGGAGAUAAAGAGAGGAAGUUAGCUACGGAGGGUUGAUUUGAGCAAAUGGGUAAGAGUUAUAUUGCAAAAUUGGUAUCUAUGGGAAUCAAGAGGAAAAAAGAAACAUUUCAGUGUGCUCAAAUCUUGCGAUCGUAGCCAUCGAGGAGCUGCCGAUGGCAAUGCGUAGUGAAGCCGGCGGCUGCUCUUAUGACCUUUGGCCAUGAUUCAACUUCCACAAGUUUUCUCAUGAAUUUUUAAAAUUUGUGAGAUAUAGAAUGGAUAAAAGUAGUGUCUGUAUAUUGAUACAUAGCAGCCCAAUUUUGCAAGUAAUAUAAGAUGAAUGUUGAGUAUCAAUUGUGGUUUCUAGAACUCUAAUUGGCUAGACUUCAAGAUUCUGGGAAAAAAGAGAUGAGUGUUCAAUAGGAAGAAGGGUGUUACACUUUGCAUUGCCUAAGCUGGUUGAGUUAGCUAGUUGCUUCUUUGGCAUCAGACUGUGGCCGGAGUUCCUGGCCAUAUAGGGUGACCGUGAUUUGACGGCUUACAACAUGACUUGAGGUAGG
rnacentral:misc_RNA from 1 species